rnacentral:lncRNA from 1 species
GCUCAGCUCUCUCUCGACCCUAAACGAAAUCUCAGUCCUCUCUUAAACCUAGAAACCCAUCUCUCUUACAAACCCAUCUCGAUCUCAGUCUUCUCUCAAUCCUCUCUCAGUCCUCUCUCACACUCUCUCGCAGCCGAUUUGGAUUGCCAUUGAAUUCGUUGAAGCAGAGAACCAAGCUUGAAUUCAACUUCACGUCCGCCACAAUAACCAGUCUCCACCAAAAUCUGAGUCACUGAUGAUGGCGCCACAGUAAAACCCACCUCUCAAUUCUCCGACUUGGCGUAUUGGGUUCGAUUUUCUUCAGUAUUUAGAGGACGUUGUCACCAAGAGGCUAGAACGCAGAACGAAGGUUGGAAUAGUCGGGGAAUACGGUAUUAUCUAAAUUCUUUUGUUCUGUUCUAUGUAAUGGCUUGUAUAUAAUUUGAGAUUUACAAACCCAGUUAUGGAGUGGUGACCAGUAGAAGGCAUCUUAUUAAAAACUGAUAUGCAAGACCGAUCACUCAUUCAAGAAUCAGAUUUGGAGUUCCAAAAGCUUAAGUGAUCUUUUUGAGCAAAUGAGGCAGAUUAGGUUAGGGAUUUGGGGAAACCUAAUUGGGUUGUACAAGUUUGCUGCCAUAUUACUGAUUCUAUCAGUUUGUGCGUAAGGUUGAACAAGUCACGGCCACGAAACUAAUCAAGUAAGAAUGCUUAGGGAAGAACUACAGCUUCUGCAAGAGCCUACACAAAGGUACUUGCUGCAUUCAUAUCCUGAUACAGUUGGAAAAGAGUUCAUUUUGAAGUAAGGAAUUCCUUCAUUGCAUGAUGUUUGAUAUUAAGAUUCUAUUAGGUAGACAUCAUUAUACAUCAUAAGUGGGUUCGAUAGCUAGGUGUCAUUUGAUUGUGCUCUGAAUUGUCUAGUCUAGUCAUUUGAUUCGUUAUCUGAAGCCCAUUAGAAAGAUUAUAGUAUCUGCUAUUCAGAACUUUCCAAUAAGAAUGAAGACUUGUUGCAAGAAGCUUUUCAGUAAUCAUUGUUUUUGCAUGAGCUAUGAAUGUCAUAGCAUCUCCUUGUCUUCGUUGGACAUCAUCAUUUGCAUUCUGGUAGGUUCUUAGUAUCUCUGAGUCACUGAUAGGGUAACCUCAAUUGGAAUCACUUUAUCUUUUAAUUACAGGUAUUGAUCCUGUGAUUCAUCCCCAUAUAUUCUCUCCCAGAUAGCAACAAGUUUAAUUUAAAUAAAGUUUCAAUUGAAUAUUUUCU